GACGAACGCUGGCGGCGUGCCUAACACAUGCAAGUCGAACGGAGUUAAGCCCUUCGGGACUUAACUUAGUGGCGAACGGGUGAGUAACGCGUGAGGAACCUGCCUUUCAGUGGGGGACAACAGUUGGAAACGACUGCUAAUACCGCAUGAAACUUUUGGGUGGCAUCACCUGAAAGUCAAAGAUUUAUUGCUGAAAGAUGGCCUCGCGUCUGAUUAGCUAGUUGGCGGGGUAACGGCCCACCAAGGCGACGAUCAGUAGCCGGUCUGAGGAGGAUGGAACGGCCACUAGUUGGGACUGAGAGUACCGGCCCAGACCUCCGUACGGGAGGCAGC
rnacentral:rRNA from 1 species